GAUGAACGCUGGCGGCGUGCUUAACACAUGCAAGUCGAACGGUGAAGCAGGAGCUUGCUCUUGUGGAUCAGUGGCGAACGGGUGAGUAACACGUGAGCAACCUGCCCCUGACUCUGGGAUAAGCGCUGGAAACGGCGUCUAAUACUGGAUAUGUGAUGUGACCGCAUGUUCUGCAUCUGGAAAGAAUUUCGGUUGGGGAUGGGCUCGCGGCCUAUCAGCUUGUUGGUGAGGUAAUGGAUCACCAAGGCGUCGACGGGUAGCCGGCCUGAGAGGGUGACCGGCCACACUGGGACUGAGACACGGCCCAGACUCCUACGGGAGGCAGCAGUGGGGAAUAUUGCACAAUGGGCGGAAGCCUGAUGCAGCAACGCCGCGUGAGGGAUGACGGCCUUCGGGUUGUAAACCUCUUUUAGCAGGGAAGAAGCGAAAGUGACGGUACCUGCAGAAAAAGCACCGGCUAACUACGUGCCAGCCGCCGCGGUAA
rnacentral:rRNA from 1 species